GUGUCAGCAGCCGCGGUAAGACGAGCCUCACAAACGUUAUUCGGAAUUACUGGGCUUAAAGGGUGCGUAGGCGGCGCGGAAAGUUGGGUGUGAAAUCCCUCGGCUCAACCGAGGAAUUGCGCUCAAAACUACCGUGCUCGAGGGAGAUAGAGGAAUGCGGAACUUACGGUGGAGCGGUGAAAUGCGUUGAUAUCGUAGGGAACACCGGUGGCGAAAGCGGCAUUCUGGAUCUCUUCUGACGCUGAUGCACGAAAGCUAGGGUAGCAAACGGGAUUAGAAACCCCCGUAGUCC
rnacentral:rRNA from 1 species